UCUCUGGUGGUCCAGUGGCUAAAACUCUGUGUUCCAAAUGUAGGGGGCCCAGGUUCGAUCCCUGGUCAAGGAA
rnacentral:tRNA from 1 species